rnacentral:lncRNA from 1 species
GCACCUUGAUUUGCCACCGGGCCGAUUGACUGCAGCUUGAUUGUUCGCAUGUCCAGGUUCCCCUUGCGCGCUCUUUGCGCUGAGGCCUGCGUCUGGUGUGCGUUAAAACAAACGCGCAAAUGCAGGACUAUGGACGUUGCUGUGGUAGAAAGACAGUGGAGUUGGAAAAUCUGAUAUAAAAAGGGUCUAGUAUUUUAUGGGAACACGUAAUUUACUUCCUUCACAUGGGUCUAGCGUUAUCAUUGGUACUUACCUGAAACUCUCUUUCUACCUGUAUGUGCGGUGUGUUUUUUUUGUGCUUUAUACCGAUUAAUCGAGCAUUUACCAUAUGGUUGUUGUGCUGAAUGAAUGAAGAGCCCAGUCCCUGCCCCAGCAGCCAACAUUCAAGUUUAGAUGUUGAUAGUGAAGUUGAGAUAUAGAAUAAACUUACAGUAUAAACGUGUAGUUGAGGAUAUAAAUUUUCAAAGCUUUUUCAGGAAGAGCGUAUAUUUGAAAGACAAUGAAGUGCAAAAUGAUGAAGACUUUUUAUAACUAAGGAAUUGUAUGUAACAGGAGGUUGGAGAUUUAAGAUGUUAUUUAUAAUUCUAACUAGUCCUUGGCAAGUCUAGUGUUUAGAGGUACUAUAGCAUUUAUUUGCAGAGACUGAGCUCUGUUGUAUUUGGAAAGAUCUGUAAAUGUUUUGUGGCGUAUAAUUUGUAAUAUUGUAAAUAUUUGAAAGGGUUUUUUUAAUCAUCAAAACAUUUUGAUGGCAUUAUAGGCUUUUGUUGAUUUAUUUUAAAGGACUUUAUUGAUUAUGUUUUUCUUGUUUAAUGCUGAUACAGAAAACCUUUGGCUGAUGUUUCCUGAAGAGUGAGCUCCUAGCAGUUUUGUAUAAAGGUUUAGUUAUAUAUGAGCUAAGUUACAGAAGCAGUUUGUCAGGUUCUGUUGCGAGUGCAAGCUAUUGGGAUAUUCUGUUUUUGCUCUCGUUGCUAGGAUAAUAGAAUGUGAAAAUCUCAGAUUGAGAAGUGCAAUUUCAUCUGAAGGUGGAAAGUCUUUAUAGACACAAGAAAUUGCUUUCUUGAUGCUUACGGGUUGAAUAUACUUUGUGUAGUGCUGUUCCACCUACGGCAUGAGAUGCUCAUAUAAGAAGCACUUGGGAAGAGUCCUUUGAGUUUGCACAACUGCAUUAAGGAGAGAUUUUUCAGUAAACAAGAUCCGGUCCUUCGUUCUUGAUACCAUGUUUUCUAUAUCAGUGCCUAAUGGAAGAGUGGUGGGUGUACCAAUAGCAUAUUUGAGAUAGGCAGAGGUGUAUUUAAGGUGAU